UCCAACUUGGCAAAAAGAAACUGAAUGCUGCAUGUGCUGUUUUCCAGAACUACAGGAGAAACAACUAUGCACUCCCCAAACCGAAUAAUUUAUCAAGGAUACCAGGAAUGAUUUCAUUAAGAAGCUAUGAAGAGAAUGAAGUCUAGAGAGCAGCUCAAGAGCUACCAUCAGCAUGAAGACCCAUGACGGACCUGGGUUUUCAUCACUGGCAAAUUGGAAAGCUUUUACUUCAUCUAGUCUAGAGGAAAAAAUUGCUUCUUCCUUUUUGAUUUAUGGAGAAAGAAAAGUGCCUCAGAGAUCAGAAGAUCACAGAUGCUUGUGUCCCGACAGGGACUAGGCUUUCCUCUAACAACUCUAGUAUUGAAGAUCUGAAGUCGAUAACUUCUAAGGUGUCCUACCCUGGAAAUGACUGCCUUCAAGAAGUUCAUGGAGACAAGGAAUGCAGGAUAAUUAAACAUGAUAGUGAUUCUUGGAUUUUUAACAUUUUUCAUGGCUAACUGUGUGCAAUGAAUCAAAUGAUAUCUUUGUUGUUAUUAAAUCCAGCAUUCUCCAAGCUUCAGAACACCGAGAAGCACUCUUCCUUUUGAGCAAUGCAGUCUAUGUAACAGCUUUGCUUACUAGGACUAGCAACUAUGAAACAUCAAGGGCUUACUCUGUGCCUAGUAUUACGAUAACUACUUUACAUACACUAUCACAUUUAGUCAUUUCUUUCAAAAGAAAGAAUAAACAAGU